rnacentral:misc_RNA from 1 species
CCGGCCUUGACGGACAGACAGAAAGCCAACCAGCGACGUCGUCGACCGUUCCGUUCCGCUCUGCGAAAAGCCGGGACUAUGGGGACCGUUCACUCAGGUAGGCCUUGUAGGCGCGCUUCAUGCCCUCGUCGAGCGACGCCCGCCAUCCGAAUUUGGCGAGCUUGCUGACGUCGAGCAGCUUGCGCGGCGUUCCGUCUGGUUUCGAUGUAUCGAACACGAUCUUACCGGUGUAGCCCACGGUCCGGGCGAC